rnacentral:rRNA from 1 species
UGCAGGUACCCGCGCGAAUAAGGACCGGCUAAUUCCGUGCCAGCAGCCGCGGUAAUACGGAAGGUCCGAGCGUUAUCCGGAUUUAUUGGGUUUAAAGGGUGCGCAGGCGGCCUUUUAAGUCAGUGGUUAAAUCGUGGAGCUUAACUCCAUCCCGCCAUUGAUACUGGAGAGCUUGAUUGCGGUUGAGGUUGGCGGAAUUCGCCGUGUAGCGGUGAAAUGCAUAGAUAUGGCGAAGAACUCCGAUUGCGUAGGCAGCUGACCAAGCCGUAAAUGACGCUCAUGCACGAAAGUGCGGGGAUCGAACAGGAUUAGAUACCCUG